rnacentral:lncRNA from 10 species
UUGAGCUGUGGUGAGCUCCACCGAGUUGGAGCUUCCUGGCUGCUUUGUUUACCUAAGCAAGCCUGGGUGAUGGCGGGCGCCCCUCCCCCAGCCUCGCUGCCGCCUUGCAGUUUGAUCUCAGACUGCUGUGCUAGCAGUCAGUGAGAUUCCAUGGGGGUAGGACCCUCUGAUCCAGGUGUGGGAUAUAGUCUCGUGGUGCGCCGUUUUUUAAGCCGGUCUGAAAAGCGCAAUAUUCGCGUGGGAGUGACCCGAUUUUCCAGCGUUCUUCAUCUCCACCUUUCUCAGCAUGUAGAUAAGAAGACUGAACAUGGGAGCAAUGAUGGCACAGAAGAGAACAAACACUUU